rnacentral:rRNA from 1 species
UAGGGAAUCUUCCACAAUGGACGAAAGUCUGAUGGAGCAACGCCGCGUGAGUGAUGAAGGGUUUCGGCUCGUAAAACUCUGUUGUUGGAGAAGAACGGGUGUCAGAGUAACUGUUGGCAUCGUGACGGUAUCCAACCAGAAAGCCACGGCUAACUACGUGCCAGCAGCCGCGGUAAUACGUAGGUGGCAAGCGUUGUCCGGAUUUAUUGGGCGUAAAGCGAGCGCAGGCGGUUUUUUAGGUCUGAUGUGAAAGCCUUCGGCUUAACCGGAGAAGUGCAUCGGAAACCGGGAGACUUGAGUGCAGAAGAGGACAGUGGAACUCCAUGUGUAGCGGUGAAAUGCGUAGAUAUAUGGAAGAACACCAGUGGCGAAGGCGGCUGUCUGGUCUGCAACUGACGCUGAGGCUCGAAAGCAUGGGUAGCGAACAGGAUUAGAUACCCUGGUAGUCCAUGCCGUAAACGAUGAGUGCUAAGUGUUGGAGGGUUUCCGCCCUUCAGUGCUGCAGCUAACGCAUUAAGCACUCCGCCUGGGGGAGUACGACCGCAAGGUUGAA